rnacentral:lncRNA from 1 species
GAUGGGAACAGGAGUGGGGUACGCUCACCCCUCCCUUAUGGUCCUGAGGUUGAUGCCCGGCAGAGCCUGCCCUCACCAGUCUUGCACUGAUCACCCCAAGCUCUGAUUCCAGAGUCCCCUGCGACUUCAGAGGCAGUGGGGUGGUGGGUGCCCCAGACUCAGAAGUCCGCCCACGGGUGGCCCAGGCCUGGCAGCAGGGGUGGUCCGGGAUUAUUUGGGGGCAUCUACCUGGAGUAGGGGCCUCCCGAGUCCUCCCUCAGCGUCUCACCUUGACUCCUCCCAGGGCCUGUCCGUUUCCCUCCGCCAAUCCCAAGCUGCCGGUCACACAGAGAAGCUCGCUUCUCUCUAACCCGCAGUGUGGCCUGUCCCGUUUCCCUCCGCCAAUCCCAAGCUGCCGGUCACACAGAGAAGCUCGCUUCUCUCUAACCCGCAGUGUGGCCUGGUCCGCUUCCCUCCGCCAAGCCCAAGGUGCCAGUCAGACAGAGAAGCUCGCUUCUCUCUAA